rnacentral:rRNA from 1 species
ACUUGGAGGUUGUGCCCUUGAGGCGUGGCUUCCGGAGCUAACGCGUUAAGUCGACCGCCUGGGGAGUACGGCCGCAAGGUUAAAACUCAAAUGAAUUGACGGGGGCCCGCACAAGCGGUGGAGCAUGUGGUUUAAUUCGAUGCAACGCGAAGAACCUUACCUACUCUUGACAUCCAGAGAACUUAGCAGAGAUGCUUUGGUGCCUUCGGGAACUCUGAGACAGGUGCUGCAUGGCUGUCGUCAGCUCGUGUUGUGAAAUGUUGGGUUAAGUCCCGCAACGAGCGCAACCCUUAUCCUUUGUUGCCAGCGAUUCGGUCGGGAACUCAAAGGAGACUGCCAGUGAUAAACUGGAGGAAGGUGGGGAUGACGUCAAGUCAUCAUGGCCCUUACGAGUAGGGCUACACACGUGCUACAAUGGCAUAUACAAAGAGAAGCGACCUCGCGAGAGCAAGCGGACCUCAUAAAGUAUGUCGUAGUCCGGAUUGGAGUCUGCAACUCGACUCCAUGAAGUCGGAAUCGCUAGUAAUCGUGGAUCAGAAUGCCACGGUGAAUACGUUCCCGGGCCUUGUACACACCGCCCGUCACACCAUGGGAGUGGGUUGCAAAAGAAGUAGGUAGCUUAACCUUCGGGAGGGCGCUUACCACUUUGUGAUUCAUGACUGGGGUGAAGUCGUAACAAGGUAACCGUAGGGGAACCUGC